UGCUCCCUACGGGGGGCAGCAGUGAGGAAUAUUGGUCAAUGGGCUUACGCCUGAACCAGCCACGUCGCGUGAGGGAAGACUGCCCUAUGGGUUGUAAACCUCUUUUGUCAGGGAGCAACGCCGGCUACGUGUAGCCGGACUGAGAGUACCUGAAGAAAAAGCAUCGGCUAACUCCGUGCCAGCAGCCGCGGUAAUACGGAGGAUGCGAGCGUUAUCCGGAUUUAUUGGGUUUAAAGGGUGCGUAGGCGGAAUGCCAAGUCAGCGGUAAAAAUUCGGGGCUCAACCCCGUCCGGCCGUUGAAACUG
rnacentral:rRNA from 1 species